UUUUGGUGAGGUGCCUUCCGAGUUCCCUGGAACGGGACGCCAUAGAGGGUGAGAGCCCCGUCUGGUUGGACACCGAUCCUCUGUAAAGCUCCUUCGACGAGUCGAGUAGUUUGGGAAUGCUGCUCUAAAUGGGAGGUAUAUGUCUUCUAAAGCUAAAUACCGGCCAGAGACCGAUAGCGCACAAGUAGAGUGAUCGAAAGAUGAAAAGAACUUUGAAAAGAGAGUUAAACAGUACGUGAAAUUGUUGAAAGGGAAGCGCUUGUGACCAGACUUGGGCUUGGUUGAUCAUCCGGGGUUCUCCCCGGUGCACUCUUCCGGCUCAGGCCAGCAUCAGUUCGCCCUGGGGGAUAAAGGCUUCGGGAAUGUGGCUCUCUCCGGGGAGUGUUAUAGCCCGCUGCGUAAUACCCUGUGGCGG
rnacentral:rRNA from 1 species